CCAAAGGCUCUUUUCAGAGCCGCCCACUCACUCAGUUAUUUAGAG
rfam:Xenopus tropicalis strain Nigerian Chr02_contig_3659, whole genome shotgun sequence.